UACGUAGGUGGCAAGCGUUGUCCGGAUUUACUGGGCGUAAAGGGCGUGCAGGCGGUUUGUUAAGUCUAGGGUGAAAGCUCCCGGCUCAACUGGGAGAGGUCCUUGGAUACUGGCGAACUUGAGGGAUGCAGAGGAAAGUGGAAUUCCCGGUGUAGUGGUGAUAUGCGUAGAGAUCCGGAGGAAUACCAGAGGCGAAGGCGGCCAACUGGGCUUGUUCUGACGCUGAGGUGCGAAAGCGUGGGGAGCGAACAGG
rnacentral:rRNA from 1 species